CCUCGCGACGGUUGUCGAGGUUCAAGUGCGUAGGCUGGUGUCUUAGGUAAAUCCGGGACGCCCUCUUUAAGUAGAGAAGGCUGAGACACGAUGUCGAGCCACUACGGUGGUGAAGUCAUUGAUGCCAUGCUUCCGGGAAAAGCCUCUAAGCUUCAGGUUAUAAGGAAUCGUACCCCAAACCGACACAGGUGGUCGGGUAGAGAAUACCAAGGCGCUUGAGAGAACUCGGGUGAAGGAACUAGGCAAAAUGGUACCGUAACUUCGGGAGAAGGUACGCUCUUGGCGGUGAA
rnacentral:rRNA from 1 species